rnacentral:rRNA from 1 species
GACGAACGCUGGCGGCGUGCUUAACACAUGCAAGUCGAACGGAAAGGCCCUGCUUUUGUGGGGUGCUCGAGUGGCGAACGGGUGAGUAACACGUGAGUAACCUGCCCUUGACUUUGGGAUAACUUCAGGAAACUGGGGCUAAUACCGGAUAGGAGCUCCUGCUGCAUGGUGGGGGUUGGAAAGUUUCGGCGGUUGGGGAUGGACUCGCGGCUUAUCCGCUUGUUGGUGGGGUAGUGGCUGACCAAGGCUUUGACGGGUAGCCGGCCUGAGAGGGUGACCGGCAACAUUGGGACUGAGAUAGGGCGCAGACGCCUACGGGAGGCAACAGUGGGGAAUAUUGCACAGUAGGGGGGAGCCUGAUGCGACGGCGCCGCGUGCGGGAUGAACGCCUUUGGGUUGUGAACCGCUUUCGCCUGUGACGAAGGGGGGGUGACGGUAACGGGUAAAGAAGCACCGGCUAACUACGUG